rnacentral:rRNA from 1 species
AACGAACGCUGGCGGCAGGCCUAACACAUGCAAGUCGAGCGCCCCGCAAGGGGAGCGGCGCACGGGUGAGUAACGCGUGGGAAUAUGCCCUGGGGCUGGGGAUAACGGCGGGAAACUGCCGCUAAUACCCGGUACGCCUUGAGAGGGAAAGGAGCAAUCCGCCCUGGGAGUAGCCCGCGUUGGAUUAGCUAGUUGGUGUGGUAAGAGCGCACCAAGGCGACGAUCCAUAGCUGGUCUGAGAGGAUGAUCAGCCACACUGGGACUGAGACACGGCCCAGACUCCUACGGGAGGCAGCAGUGGGGAAUAUUGGACAAUGGGGGCAACCCUGAUCCAGCCACGCCGCGUGAGUGAAGAAGGCCUUAGGGUUGUAAAGCUCUUUCGACGGGGACGAUGAUGACGGUACCCGUAGAAGAAGCCCCGGCUAACUUCGUGCCAGCCGCCGCCGUAACAC